rnacentral:lncRNA from 1 species
CCAGAGAAAGGAAGACACUUACUCAAUGAUCAUCCAGUGAGUCCAGGUCAGAGUGGGGACUAGCACCCUGGGGUCCCAAAUCCAUGGCUGGUGCCAUCCUACUUUGCUCCCUUAGUCCAUGAGAAGCAGGAGGAGAAUGGGUAAAGGGGUCUGACUUUGAGAUGGUAGAGGGCUCUUUUCUCCUUCCCUGACCUAUAGGCCUGGCUCACAGGACUUCUUGCAGGCACAACAAGGAUGUGGCUGUUGCUUGGGUUCCUGUGCGGUUAUAGUCUGCUGAGCUGUGUCCAGGGAAAUGAAGACUUGGGAGUCUUAUGCACCAUCAGUGAACAGGAGAUUCAGAAGGCAUGGAGGGACAAGAUAAUUGGAGGUGGAAUUCUGGAAAAGCAGCUGAAAUUGGUGCAGCUGCCUAACCUGGGAUAUGGGGGUGGCCUCCUUGGCUCUCUCUUGUCUGUUACCAAGAUUCAAAUUCUUAACCUCCUGCAGCCUGAGAAUUUUCUCCAUUCAGUUCUUUGAGAUCUCAGUCAAGCUCAAGCCCAAUCUGGGGAGCCAGCUCAUUAUCCUUCUCAAGCUCAAUGUAGAUGGCAACUGCUUGCUCAAUCUUCUCUCUGGGUUGAUCAACAUCUCUGUGGACCUGCGUCUGAAUGUGGACAUCUGCCUAGGCACUUUUUCGAAAGAGACCAUACAGUUUGUCCCUAACAACUGUUCAAUGACUGUGGGUGCCAUUAAUGUCAAUCUCCUGUCAGGGUAAGGGUUUUGUCAUCGUGUGGGGCUGCCCAUGGUCCAUUGGGUAGAAGUCCGGGCAUC